UGGGGGAUAUUGCACAAUGGGCGAAAGCCUGAUGCAGCGACGCCGCGUGGGGGAUGAAGGCCUUCGGGUUGUAAACUUCUUUUGCUCUGAACAAGGCGCACCAUGGGGUGUGUUGAGUGUAGGGGUUGAUUAGCGCCGGCUAACUACGUGCCAGCAGCCGCGGUAAUACGUAGGGCGCGAGCGUUGUCCGGAAUUAUUGGGCGUAAAGGGCUUGUAGGUGGCUGGUUGCGUCUGUCGUGAAAGCUCAUGGCUUAACUGUGGGUUUGCGGUGGGUACGGGCUGGCUGGAGUGCAGUAGGGGAUGCUGGAAUUCCGGGUGUAGCGGUGGAAUGCGGAGAUAUCAGGAGGAAUACCGGUGGCGAAGGCGGGUCUCUGGGCUGUUACUGACACUGAGGAGCGAAAGCAUGGGGAGCGAACAGG
rnacentral:rRNA from 1 species